rnacentral:rRNA from 1 species
GUGAGGAAUAUUGCGCAAUGGAGGCAACUCUGACGCAGCCAUGCCGCGUGCAGGAAGAAGGCGCUACGCGUUGUAAACUGCUUUUAACCGGGAAGAAACCCCAGGACGUGUCCUGGGUUGACGGUACCGGAGGAAUAAGCACCGGCUAACUUCGUGCCAGCAGCCGCGGUAAUACGAAGGGUGCAAGCGUUAUCCGGAUUCAUUGGGUUUAAAGGGUGCGUAGGCGGAGCGUUAAGUCAGUGGUGAAAUCCUGCAGCUUAACUGUAAACUUGCCAUUGAUACUGGCGCUCUUGAGUGCGCUUGAAGUGGGCGGAAUGUGCCGUGUAGCGGUGAAAUGCUUAGAUAUGGCACAGAACACCAAUUGCGAAGGCAGCUCACUAAGGCGAUACUGACGCUGAGGCACGAAAGCGUGGGGAUCGAACAGGAUUAGAUACCCCUGUAGUCC